CGGUUUGACGGCCAAGGUCGAGGCCGCGCGAUUCUGCCGCGCGCCGCCGCGUCGGCAAGUCUCUUGUGUGCCCUCUUUCUCGAAACUAUUUCUAUAAGGGGUAAUGCGCAAUAAACGCCGCGAGUGCACCCUCUACACUACCCUGCCAUCGCCACAAAGGAAGCGCUGUUAUCUACCAUAUUUUAACGAAAAAAAAAAAAUCAAGAUGGACAAGGAAAUGGCGGCUGUGGAGAUAUGAAGACAAAUUGUAACUGCGAUUAAUGAAAACUAAAUUAAUAUGUAUGUUUAGAUUCAUUAAAAUUAAUAAUAUCGUA